CCCCGGGCGGGCGGCGCCGCGAGGAGGCGGCGGAGCCGUUGGCGGGCGGCGCUGUGAGGAGGCGGCGGAGCCGUUGGCGGGGGGCGCCGCGCCCCUCCCCUGCGCGGCCCCAGGGGCGACAAAACUGACGGAAAGGAGCGGCCGGUGGCUCCGGGAAAUGGUGUUUAUUCAGGGAGCAGGGAGGCCUUGCUUCUCCGUCGGUUCAUAAAUCGGGCUGUCACCGAAAUAAGAAUGAUUUCUCAUGGCCAGCUGCCAGGAUCUCUCCUUAUCGUCCAGUUGACAACUACUCUGACGCUUACUCGGGGCAACCUUCUCCUCGAAUGAGCAUUCAGCACCUUCGAGCUUAACAAAAAUCCUGAGAGCCUGGGAAGAUGAGCCUUCUGUGAGAAUUAAGCCAAGAGUCAACAGGACGUACCCGCGCCAGGGCACCCAGAGGACAUCCUUCCAGCUUGCUUUCCAAACGGAAGGCUCUUAGUUGGUGCCACGCUUCUCGGUACUUACGCCUGCUCCCAUUUUACACUCCACUAUGUGCUGAGGAAUUUGCUGUAAUCCAGAAUCUUGACAGUCGAUUUAACUUAAAAUCGCUAUGAAAUUAUAAACCUUCUGUCCACGAGCGAGUCUGAUAAAACGUUGGCUUUUGAUAGGGGGAACUUCUUCACGCAGGCAGCCCAAAGAACGUCACCAUUUCAUUUCUUCAACAGAUGGUUCAUAAAUCCAGGAGAGCAGACAUGUGUCCCUGGAUGCCACGUUUGCUUCCAACAUGCUACUCGUUUUCCCCGUAGAAGAGACGCCUGCUGCCAUGUCAUUCCCCAUGGAGACGCUUGGCCCGAGUAUUUUAUCCAUUUAUCAAGCCAGAUCAUCAACCAAACCAUCUCACCGCCUGAUCCGUUCUUACGCACCCCCACCACCACCACAGCUAUCAGCCCAAGCCAUGGAAGUGAAAACUGCUCUCUGCCUCCCAGUUUGCAGUAUCUCUGGCACGAUGGGGUACUCAGCUUCCCUGUCUCUACUUUCCCAGUGCAGAUGCCUGUAGGAGAAGAAAGGAGCAUAUCAGGACUUAAAGGUGGUGAAGCAAGUCUGCAGAGAAGUUCCCUAAAUGGGUAUCUAUCAAAACUGGAAAUGGAAAUGGAAGAUCAUUGUCUGCCUCAAAACCUGGCUUCCAUUCAAACAUUUUUAAAGUUGAAAGUCUUCAUCCUUUCAGCUGUUCUGAUGGAGGAACUCUGCACUGAGUCUUACCUGACACUUCAAAAUGUUUAGAUAUAUUAAAGUGACCAUUGUCAAUUCAAUCAUUUGCUGUUUGCAUUUGUGCGUUAACAUCUAAUUUACCAGCGGCUCAGCUUUAUCUCUUACUUUAAGUAUAACCCAACUUUAUAUAUCCCCACUCAAUAACACUUCAUCAAAUGCCUUCACAAUCGCUUUUUUUUUUGCCUUGUGCAAGACAAUGCUGCUGCUUCAUCAUAACCUUUGUCAGAAACUGUUUCCAUUAUUUGUGAAUGCUGCUUUUGUAUUGCUGUGCUUCAGAUGCGGCAUAGUUAAUGAUGUCUUUUGUGAUGGUAUGCAUUUUUGUGCUAAACAGCUUUUUCUUUUAAUGUAUCUUUACAUUUACUGCAGUAUGUGCCAAUUGCUUAUCCAUAUACCGUGUUUAUGCUUUGCCAGAUUGACUCCAGCUUCCUCCCUUCUUCACUGACACAAACACAUUUUUUCACUAGUCCAGCACUUUCCCACUGUUCUUCACGACAUAAUGGUCAGUGCCAACAGUCUUGUUUCUGAUUACAGAUCAUAAAUAAUUCAAUCUCUAAUUAGUCUUAAUGCACUUCUUAAAUGCACAUGGGUUAGUUUUAAAAUGUCACUCUGCAAUGUAAUGGUCAAUUUUUUUAGCUAUGCUCUGCUUUUGUGUAAAGAAAAUGUAUUCCUGAACUUUUUUUGGUUUUGUCAAGCAAUUUGCAGUCUUCAUUAUAUUCUCUCUGGAAUAAUUGGAAGAGCUUCAGUGCAGCUAGAAUUGCUUCGUGUUCUUUCUAUAAUAUACUUGCUCUUUAUCUGAUAGUACUUUAACAUAUCUCAGUAACUUUGGGGAAUUCUGCAGACACCUUCUCCAGAUUCCCUUCCAUGGGGAAUUCUGAUACAUCAUGUUUAUCAUGAUUUUUAAUACCAUACAAUAAAGGUCUGAUACAGAAAAGUAUUUUUCA
ensembl:lncRNA